rnacentral:rRNA from 1 species
CCCUUAGAUGUCCUGGGCCGCACGCGCGCUACACUGACAUGUUCAACAAGCCUCCUAGUUCGACAGGAUUUGGGAAAUCUUUGAACGCAUGUCGUGAUAGGGAUAGAUCAUUGCAAUUAUUGAUCUUGAACGAGGAAUUCCUAGUAAACGCGAGUCAUUAGCUCGCAUUGAUUACGUCCCUGCCCUUUGUACACACCGCCCGUCGCACCUACCGAUUGAAUGUUUCGGUGAAGAUUCCGGAUAGGACUUUUUUGAUUUAUUUCAAUUCUGUCUUAAAAGCUAUCUAAACCUCAACAUUUAGAGGAAGGUGAAGUCGUAACA